rnacentral:rRNA from 1 species
AUAUAAAAUGACUCUCGGCAACGGAUAUCUCGGCUCUUGCAUCGAUGAAGAACGUAGCGAAAUGCGAUACUUGGUGUGAAUUGCAGAAUCCCGUGAACCAUCGAGUCUUUGAACGCAAGUUGCGCCCAAAGCCAUUAGGUUGAGGGCACGCCUGCCUGGGUGUCACAC